rnacentral:rRNA from 1 species
AGAGUUUGAUCCUGGCUCAGGACGAACGCUGGCGGCGUGCUUAACACAUGCAAGUCGAACGGAAAGGCCCUUCGGGGUACUCGAGUGGCGAACGGGUGAGUAACACGUGGGUGAUCUGCCCUGCACUUUGGGAUAAGCCUGGGAAACUGGGUCUAAUACCGAAUAUGACCAUGCGCCUCCUGGUGUGUGGUGGAAAGCUUUUGCGGUGUGGGAUGGGCCCGCGGCCUAUCAGCUUGUUGGUGGGGUAAUGGCCUACCAAGGCGACGACGGGUAGCCGGCCUGAGAGGGUGACCGGCCACACUGGGACUGAGAUACGGCACAGACUCCUACGGGAGGCAGCAGUGGGGAAUAUUGCACAAUGGGCGAAAGCCUGAUGCAGCGACGCCGCGUGGGGGAUGACGGCCUUCGGGUUGUAAACCUCUUUCACCAUCGACGAAGGUCCGGGUUUUCUCGGGCUGACGGUAGGUGGAGAAGAAGCACCGGCCAACUACGUGCCAGCAGCCGCGGUAAUACGUAGGGUGCGAGCGUUGUCCGGAAUUACUGGGCGUAAAGAGCUCGUAGGUGGUUUGUCGCGUUGUUCGUGAAAACUCACAGCUCAACUGUGGGCGUGCGGGCGAUACGGGCAGACUUGAGUACUGCAGGGGAGACUGGAAUUCCUGGUGUAGCGGUGGAAUGCGCAGAUAUCAGGAGGAACACCGGUGGCGAAGGCGGGUCUCUGGGCAGUAACUGACGCUGAGGAGCGAAAGCGUGGGGAGCGAACAGGAUUAGAUACCCUGGUAGUCC